UACGUCUUCAGUGACCGCCGGCAUGUCUCGUAAGUAUUCUUCCUUACGUACUAGUGUCGCCUUUUCGGGUCACUAUGACUUGUUAGCAUAAGAGAAAAUCACUUAUGUAUAUAGCACGAGAAGUAUGAUAUAUCGAAUAAUAUAUUUGGGAAGCUUUUUCGAAAAAAUGACUGAAAGAGGGUUCCACUUUCUAGGAAAGACAUAUCUUUGAGGUCUGUGACUUGCUCGGAGUUGCUGUGCUUCAUGCAUCCAUGUAGUCCUCUAUGAGAGUAUCCCUCCGGUCCAAAUAGUCAUGUCCAUGAUUUUGAGUUGCUGUGCAGCUGUGCUUCAGACAUCCAUGCAGUCCCCUAAGGGAUCGCCAUCCAGGUCCAUUUUUCGUCAAAUUGUUGCGCCCAUGCUUCGAGUGUGUGUGCAUCAGGCAACCAUGUAGUCUUCCACGGGAUCACCCCCAUGUCCAUUCAAAAUGUCG